rnacentral:rRNA from 1 species
GAUGAACGCUGGCGGCGUGCCUAAUACAUGCAAGUCGAGCGAACAGACGAGGAGCUUGCUCCUUUGACGUUAGCGGCGGACGGGUGAGUAACACGUAGGUAACCUACCUAUAAGACUGGGAUAACUUCGGGAAACCGGAGCUAAUACCGGAUAAUAUUUCGAACCGCAUGGUUCGAUAGUGAAAGAUGGCUUUGCUAUCACUUAUAGAUGGACCUGCGCCGUAUUAGCUAGUUGGUAAGGUAACGGCUUACCAAGGCAACGAUACGUAGCCGACCUGAGAGGGUGAUCGGCCACACUGGAACUGAGACACGGUCCAGACUCCUACGGGAGGCAGCAGUAGGGAAUCUUCCGCGAUGGGCGAAAGCCUGACGGAGCAACGCCGCGUGAGUGAUGAAGGUCUUCGGAUCGUAAAACUCUGUUAUUAGGGAAGAACAAACGUGUAAGUAACUGUGCACGUCUUGACGGUACCUAAUCAGAAAGCCACGGCUAACUACGUG